UACGGAGGGGGCUAGCGUUGUUCGGAAUUACUGGGCGUAAAGCGCACGCAGGCGGUUCGCCAAGUUUGGAGUGACAGUUGUCGGCUCAACCGACAAAGGACUUCAAAAACUGGUGAACUUGAGGACGAGAGAGGAACAUGGAACUCCAGGUGUAGUAGUGAAAUGCGUAGAUAUCUGGAAGAACACCAAUGGCGAAGGCAAUGUUCUGGCUCGUUCCUGACGCUCAGGUGCGAAAGCCAGGGGAGCGAAUGGG
rnacentral:rRNA from 1 species